UUGACCACAACUGCUUAAAGUUCUUGUUUUCCUUUCAGUGCUGAUGCUGGAGAAAAAAAAAAAAAAAAAAAAAAAAAAAAGCAACUCACAUACAUUCAGCUCCUUCUAUUGCACAUACAAGGGAAAUGGGAAUAUUUGUGCAGUAGAGUCAUCAUUUGGCUCCAAACAACAAAAGAAUAUUUAUUCAGCCUUUGGGCAUAAUAUAAUCUAAAGAGGGGCAAGUGAGAUUUCAAAAGGAGCAUGGCUGUCUUCCAGCUCAGCUGUUGUGCUGACUAGAGUUAAAGGUGGAAAUGCUUUCUCUGUGGACUGCCAUAUAGAAGAGCUGCCCAACACCUGCAGCCCAACAACUAUUCUCUUAAACGAUUCUUCAAAACUAGAAGUGUGGUGAGAAGGCACCCCUGUUUGAAUUGCCUGGGGAACUGGAUGGAUGUGCAACCUCAUGAUGCAGAAAAUUGCAGCCUUCAUAAUUUGCAUUCAGUGGCUCCAUUUGUAUCAUCAGAAAUCCCUUUUUAUGCACUGACUACAAGAGCAGAGGAAGCUACAUUAGACCUCCUGAAACCCACGUUGCACUUGAGCUGUUUCAGAGCAGUUCCUUGCAGGGUGUUCCUGGAAGCAGGGCUGUGGGAGGAAGGAAGCCUCAAAGACGUCUGAAACACAGAUCCUGAACUGCACUGGAACACAGACACUUGCUCACUGGGCUGUGGCAGACACCUAAAGAAGGACUUUCACUUCUUGCCAACUAAUUUCCCCCAGAGUUCCCCCAUUUUGAAUUUUUAAGGUACGUAGUAUGCAUCCCAGGGCUUUCAGCCUUGUGAAUAUUUUUGGUACGAGUCUCAGCAUUGUGAUGGCUGACCAUCCUGGAGUUAGAGAGCUGUGAAACUGCUUUCACUCUAUCUGUAAUUACAGGUGUUUCCCAACUGUGACAAAACAAGAGAGGUUUUGCUGUGGUGUUGUACAGACUUUAGUUCUAGCCUCACUCACUGCCUCUGAAACAAUUUUGUGCAAAGACUGGUUUCUCCUACCAAAGCUCUCAGAUGUGCCACUGUUUUGUGAUGAUUCUGAAGUACUCAGAAGUACAGGAUUCACUAGCAAGUGCGGCUGAGAAUUUAUGACCUCUAGAUUUGUAGCUUAGAUAGCUUCCCAGGGUCAUAGGGCAUUUUCAAGGAGAGAAAAAAUAAUGGCAUCCACCUUCCUGCCUCCACCCUCUACUUCGAUAACCUGACUGCUGAAACUUUCAUAUAGUUACAGGCUUGUCCUCUGCAGGAGGCAGAGUCAGGUUGGCAAGACUUCUCUGGAGACUGCUGUUUUCAUUUCCUACUUCCACAUGUGCGGAGGCAGCACCGUGAGGCCAAAGAUGAGGGGGAUUCAUGUGUCUUGGAGUACAUAACUGAAGAGUGAACUACCAGGUAAUGAAACUGGAGUACAGCUAUUCUAAGAGUCAAGAAAACCAUGUAUAAUGAAGGAAAAAAAAAUGCAGGGACAUUGCCUUUUAUUUGCUACCUGUGGCUAGGCCCUGACCUACUGAUGCAUCACUGGUGAGGCUCCACAAA